rnacentral:lncRNA from 1 species
UGGUAGUUUGAUAAUCUUAGAUAUGGAAAGGCAUUCUGUAUGGUAGUAUCUGAGUAAGAAAAGAUUCUUACUAGAUUAAAUAUACAUAAACGCUACCAAAUUUCUAACAUUGCUCCUUAUGUAUGUAUUCAUUUGAAGCCUUUAGUAAUCCACAUAAGCAUAUUGCAGGUAACAAGGAAGACUGUGGAGUUAUUAAUGCAGAGGGGAAAAAAAGACACUGAUAACUACUUAGUAAGUGCAAAAUUCAAGAAGGAUCCUAACUGUUAUGUAGAACCUGGUGUGUAACCUUAAAUGAUCCUAUGUAAUCUUAAAUGUAACUCUGAAGAGAAGAUCAUACUUUCCUGUCUUUUUGAUUCCUACAAUCAAUAACCUUCAAAUGCAAAUCCAGGUAUAUGUAUGGCUACUCUAGUGCACUUCUGCUUUACAGGCAAACAUUUCUUCAAAGUCAAGCAGAAGGUCCUGUCUUGAUCAUAAGGUAUAAUAAAUGAAAAUGUGUUUUAAAAUAAAUCAUGGUGCACCAUAUCUUGAUCUGAAAUUUAGGGAAAACCCUGAAACCAGACAGCUCUUAUUCAUCUCUAACGUGCAUUUCCUCCCUUCCUUACUUUUGUAGAAUGAAUUAACUAUGAUUCUGUAUAAAAUAUCAGAGAAAUCUCAGAGAAGCCUCCCUUUCUCAGUUCUUGCAGCAGCCAAGGUGAAAGGAUCUUUUCUGAGGAAAUAUACAGAGGUUUCUUCGUUAGAGAGCAGAAACUGCAGAAGGUGAAAGUGUUACACAGCUCUUCUGCAAAAAUCCACCAGAAAUCUUCUGCCAGUUCCUGGUUAAAACAGGACAACAAAACUGACCAUGCAGAGCGUACCACACAGUGUAACACAGCUGCACAGACAGCUGUUGGCACAGAGCAAGCACAGAAUUGUAGCAGUGGACAUUACGCAGCCAGUGCUGCAGCUUGAACGAGGCUGAAAGUUAAGGACAAAAGUAUUGCUAAAGAGAGCAAAGAAGAUCAGCAUGGUGAAGAAAAUAAUUAAAGAGCAAUCACUCUCUUGCUGAAGUAAUUCAAUAUUUGCAAUCUUUAUGAUAUCAAUGUAUUAUCAAUUUUUCAUAAUUCUAGAAUUUCUGGGAAACGUGACAUGUGCAAGCAUAUUUAAAAUAAAAUUUUGUGAGAUG